AUUAUUGGGCGUAAAGAGCUCGUAGGCGGUUUGUCGCGUCUGCUGUGAAAGCCCGGGGCUCAACCCCGGGUCUGCAGUGGGUACGGGCAGACUAGAGUGCAGUAGGGGAGACUGGAAUUCCUGGUGUAGCGGUGAAAUGCGCAGAUAUCAGGAGGAACACCGAUGGCGAAGGCAGGUCUCUGGGCUGUUACUGACGCUGAGGAGCGAAAGCAUGGGGAGCGAACAGGAUUAGAUACCCUGGUAGUCCAUGCCGUAAACGUUGGGCACUAGGUGUGGGGGACAUUCCACGUUUUCCGCGCCGUAGCUAACGCAUUAAGUGCCCCGCCUGGGGAGUACGGCCGCAAGGCUAAAACUCAAAGGAAUUGACGGGGGCCCGCACAAGCGGCGGAGCAUGCGGAUUAAUUCGAUGCAACGCGAAGAACCUUACCAAGGCUUGACAUUCACCGGACCGCCCCAGAGAUGGGGUUUCCCUUCGGGGCUGGUGGACAGGUGGUGCAUGGUUGUCGUCAGCUCGUGUCGUGAGAUGUUGGGUUAAGUCCCGCAACGAGCGCAACCCUCGUUCUAUGUUGCCAGCACGUGAUGGUGGGGACUCAUAGGAGACUGCCGGGGUCAACUCGGAGGAAGGUGGGGAUGACGUCAAAUCAUCAUGCCCCUUAUGUCUUGGGCUUCACGCAUGCUACAAUGGCCGGUACAAAGGGUUGCGAUACUGUGAGGUGGAGCUAAUCCCAAAAAGCCGGUCUCAGUUCGGAUUGAGGUCUGCAACUCGACCUCAUGAAGUCGGAGUCGCUAGUAAUCGCAGAUCAGCAACGCUGCGGUGAAUACGUUCCCGGGCCUUGUACACACCGCCCGUCAAGUCACGAAAGUUGGUAACACCCGAAGCCGGUGGCCUAACCCCUUGGGGAGGGAGCCG
rnacentral:rRNA from 1 species